ACUCGGGAGAAAGGAAGGAAGAAGCAAAGAGCAGGCCGAAGGACUCUGUCGAGGGAGAAACUGAGGCACGGAGAAGAGAGGAUAAGAUCGCCCCUGAGGAGAACUGGGAGAUGUUCACUGGCAGGCGCCUCCAGAUGUUUGCAUCAAGAUUUCACCUCUGCCCGGCACUUAGUAGGCAGAAAAGAAAUGCUCUGGGAGUGGACGGGUGAGCUGGGUCUCCUUCAGCCAAGCUGUGCUGGGUCCAGGUAGCCACCUGGAGCUUCUCUCUCUGCCCCUAUUCUCCAUGACCUCACGUAGUCCCCCUCAUCCUCUCUCAGAUGAUUCCAGUGCCCUGUUUCCUGUAUCCUCUUUCCUUUAAGUCCAUCCUAAAAUCCAGCCAGCUACCUGCAGUAGCUCCCCAUCACCGGCACUCCUGGGCCUGGAGCAUUGUCCCAUGCUGAGGGGCCUUCCUCCCGCUCCUCACCCUCUCCUUCCCUUCACACCCUCCAUGCUCUGGUCAGCCUGGCCCCAUCACCGGCACUCCUAGGCCUGAAGCAUUGUCCCAUGCUGAGGGGCCUUCCUCAGCUCCUCACCCUCUCCUUCCCUUCACACCCUCCAUGCUCUGGUCAGCCUGGCCACUAGCCAUCAAGAUGCUUCCACUUUACUGAGCCCGCUCUCCUGAAAGCCACUCCAAACACAGCAGGGCCAUGACUCAGUCCACAGCUCCAGGGCCAUCCCUA